AUUGAACGCUGGCGGCAGGCCUAACACAUGCAAGUCGAACGAGUGGCGGACGGGUGAGUAAUGUCUGGGAAACUGCCUGAUGGGGGGGGAAAACUACUGGAAACGGUAGCUAAUACCGCAUAGCAUCGGGUGUGCCGAGAUGGGAUUAGCUAGUAGGUGGGGUAAAGGCUCACCUAGGCGACGAUCCCUAGCUGGUCUACGAGGAUGACCAGCCACACUGGACAUGAGACACGGUCCAGACGCCUACGGGAGGGAGCAGUGGGGAAUAUUGCACAAUGGGCGCAAGCCUGAUGCAGCCAUGCCGCGUGUAUGAAGAAGGCCUUCGGGUUGUAAAGUACUUUCAGCGGGGAGGCGUUACCCGCAGAAGAAGCACCGGCUAACUCCGUGCCAGCAGCCGCGGUAAUAC
rnacentral:rRNA from 1 species